GUAAAUAUAAUUUAAAUAAAAUAUUAGACUGUGGUUCUAAAAAUAGAAACUAAUAAUUUCUUAUUUACC
rnacentral:tRNA from 1 species